GUCGAAGUGGGAAACAUUGAUGAUCUUGUCAUUCUGUUUUUGUGAAACUCCUUAGCAGAACUGGUAGCAAUCGCAGGAUCAGAGAGGGUUCCAUUGGAGGCAUCUUGAUGUGGAUAAUCUUCAUAAGAACAGAGAAUAUCAUCAGACCCAAAAUCAAAACCCUUCGAACCCGAAGAAUUACUCGGCCUACCAGAUGAUCCAGACGCCAUACUUCACGGAUCACAAAACUAGGGUUUUCACUUUUACUGAUCAAACAAACGAAGAGAAAAA
rnacentral:misc_RNA from 1 species